GAUGAACGCUGGCGGCGUGCCUAAUACAUGCAAGUCGAGCGAACAGACGAGGAGCUUGCUCCUCUGACGUUAGCGGCGGACGGGUGAGUAACACGUGGAUAACCUACCUAUAAGACUGGGAUAACUUCGGGAAACCGGAGCUAAUACCGGAUAACAUGUUGAACCGCAUGGUUCAACAGUGAAAGACGAUCUUGCUGUCACUUAUAGAUGGAUCCGCGCCGCGUUAGCUAGUUGGUAAGGUAACGGCUUACCAAGGCAACGAUGCGUAGCCGACCUGAGAGGGUGAUCGGCCACGCUGGAACUGAGACGCGGUCCAGACGCCUACGGGAGGCAGCAGUAGGGAAUCUUCCGCAAUGGGCGAAAGCCUGACGGAGCAACGCCGCGUGAGUGAAGAAGGUCUUCGGAUCGUAAAACUCUGUUAUUAGGGAAGAACAAAUGUGUAAGUAACUAUGCACGUCUUGACGGUACCGAAUCAGAAAGCCACGGCUAACUACGU
rnacentral:rRNA from 1 species